rnacentral:misc_RNA from 1 species
UCCGGUUUGUCACCGGCGGUCUCCUUAGAGUGCCCAACUUAAUGCUGGCAACUAAGGACAAGGGUUGCGCUCGUUGCGGGACUUAACCCAACAUCUCACGACACGAGCUGACGACAGCCAUGCAGCACCUGUCUCUGGGUUCCUUGCGGCACCCCCGAAUCUCUUCAGGGUUCCGCGGAUGUCAAGGCCAGGUAAGGUUCUUCGCGUUGCAUCGAAUUGAACCACAUGCUCCGCUGCUUGUGCGGGUCCCCGUCAAUUCCUUUGAGUUUUAGCCUUGCGGCCGUACUCCCCAGGCGGGGCACUUAAUGCGUUAGCUUCGGCACGGAACGGGUUGAAGACCGCCCCACACCUAGCACCCAACGUUUACGGCUGGGACUAC